rnacentral:rRNA from 1 species
UCAGCAACGGAUCUCUUGGCUCUCGCAUCGAUGAAGAACGCANNNNAAUGCGAUAAGUAAUGUGAAUUGCAGAAUUCAGUGAAUCAUCGAAUCUUUGAACGCACCUUGCGCUCCUUGGUAUUCCGAGGAGCAUGCCUGUUUGAGUGUCAUUAAAUU